AUCAUACAUGGCACAGCAUAUAUACAUUGAACCUGGUCAGGGCCGGAAGGCAGCAGCCAUAGAUGUCCCUGUAUCGCGUGUGCCACUUUUAUUUUAUG
rfam:Solobacterium moorei F0204 genomic scaffold Scfld21, whole genome shotgun sequence.